UACGGAGGGUGCAAGCGUUGCUCGGAAUUAUUGGGCGUAAAGCGUAUGUAGGCGGUUUUCUAAGUCUGAUGUGAAAUCCCAGGGCUUAACUCUGGAACUGCAUCGGAUACUGGAAAGCUAGAGGACGAUAGAGGAUGGUGGAAUUCCUGGUGUAGGGGUGAAAUCCGUAGAUAUCAGGAGGAACAUCAGUGGCGAAGGCGGCCAUCUGGAUCGUACCUGACGCUGAGAUACGAAAGCGUGGGGAGCAAACAGG
rnacentral:rRNA from 1 species